rnacentral:rRNA from 1 species
GAUGAACGCUAGCUACAGGCUUAAUACAUGCAAGUCGAGCGGUAACAGGACUAGCUUGCUAGUUGCUGACGAGCGGCGGACGGCUGAGUAACGCAUGGGAACGCACCCCAAACUGAGGGAUAACGCACCGAAAGGUGUGCUAAUACCGCAUGUGAUCUUCGGAUUAAAGCUUUCGGGCGGUUUGGGAGCGGCCUGUGUACGAUUAGAUAGUUGGUGAGGUAAUGGCUCACCAAGUCGACGAUCGUUAGAUGGUUUGAGAGGAUGAUCAUCCAGACUGGGACUGAGACACGGCCCAGACUCC